rnacentral:rRNA from 1 species
AGAAACUCCGGGCUUGCUCGGAGGAGUAAAGUGGCGAACGGGUGAGUAACGCGUGGGCAACCUGCCCCUGAAUCUGGGAUAACCUCGCGAAAGCGUUGCUAAUACCGGAUAUUGUCCCGAGAACCGUGGUCCUCGGGAUGAAAGGUGACCUAUCCAUGGAAGUUGCCGUUCAGGAUGGGGCCCGCGUACCAUUAGCUUGUUGGUGGGGUAAUGGCCCACCAAGGCGACGAUGGUUAGCUGGUCUGAGAGGAUGAUCAGCCACACUGGAACUGAAACACGGUCCAGACUCCUACGGGAGGCAGCAGUGAGGAAUUUUGCGCAAUGGGGGAAACCCUGACGCAGCAACGCCGCGUGAGUGAAGAAGGCUUUCGGGUCGUAAAGCUCUGUCAAAGGGGAAAAAAGCCUCCCGAUUAAUAGUCGGGAGGACUGAUGGUACCCUUAGAGGAAGCACCGGCUAACUCCGUGCCAGCAGCCGCGGUAAUACGGAGGGUGCAAGCGUUGUUCGGAAUUACUGGGCGUAAAGAGCGUGUAGGCGGUUUGGCAAGUCAGAUGUGAAAGCCCUGGGCUCAACCCAGGAAGUGCAUUUGAAACUGCCAUUCUAGAGUAUGGGAGAGGAGAGUGGAAUUCCCAGUGUAGAGGUGAAAUUCGUAGAUAUUGGGAGGAACACCCGUGGCGAAGGCGACUCUCUGGACCAAUACUGACGCUGAGACGCGAAAGCGUGGGGAGCAAACAGGAUUAGAUACCCUG